GCCAGGCAUGGUAGUGCGUGCCUGUAGUCCCAGCUACUCGGGAGGCUGAGGUGGGAGGAUCGCUUGAGGCCAGGAGUCCUGGGCUGUAGUGCGCUAUGCCAAUCGGGUGUCCGCACUAAGUUUGGCAUCAAUAUGGUGACUUCCUGGGAGUGGGGGACCACCAGGUUGCCUAAGGAGGGGUGAACCGGCCCAGGUCGGAAAUGGAGCAGGUCAAAACUCCCAUGCUGAUCAGUAGUGGGAUUGUGCCUGUGAAUAGCCACCGCACUUCAGCCUGGGCAACAUAGUGAGACACCGUCUCU
rnacentral:SRP_RNA from 1 species